rnacentral:rRNA from 1 species
UACGGAGGGUGCAAGCGUUGUUCGGAAUCACUGGGCGUAAAGGGCGUGUAGGCGGUCUGCUAAGUCUGAUGUGAAAUCCCGAGGCUUACCCUCGGAAGUGCAUUGGAGACUGGCAGGCUAGAGUCCCGGAGAGGAGGGUGGAAUUCCUGGUGUAGCGGUGAAAUGCGUAGAGAUCAGGAGGAACACCGGUGGCGAAGGCGGCCCUCUGGACGGUGACUGACGCUGAGACGCGAAAGCGUGGGGAGCAAACAGG